rnacentral:ribozyme from 1 species
CACACACAUCACAUCACAGCUCUACACAUACCUCAUCCGCCAAAAUACCAUGCAAGCCCUUUUCGGCGAGAGAUAGAUCAUCCAAUGCAAGGAUUCUAAUGGGUAGGGUUUUCAUUUUCCAAAUG